rnacentral:sRNA from 14 species
GUCAACCCCCCCUGGCUGAAGUCAGAGGCUUGGGAAACCCGCAAGCCAAGCGGGCCAAUCGAGACUAAACGGUUGACUAGACAGAAAGCUGAACGAACUGCCCGUGGCAGGGCAAGCGAUACCGGGAAUGCCCUCCUAGUUUCCGGUCCCUCG